rnacentral:tRNA from 1 species
GGCAUGAUGGCACAGUUUGAGCACUGGACUUCAACUCUGGAGGCCAGGGUUUGAACCCCUACUUUGCCA